CGCUGUUAAGUGUAGCGUAACAUCCGAGUGGUCGAUUUGACCUCUAACGAGACCAGCCUCGAGACCGUGCGAGAUCUGCACCAGUUCCUGUAAGAUUUUGACAGGAAGUAGAUGUGUGUUUUGGGAUUUAUGCAUUUAAUGUCUCUUCACGUCAAUAUUCUGAUGUUGUCCGCCAGUCGCCCAUCAUACCCCUAAUAUAUUAAAACACAGUAGUGGUACAGAGAUUUGGACAAUCUAUCAUCUACAGGCCUAGGAUCUGGAUGAUGUCAUGAUCACAAACAAGUGUUUUUGACAAAGAAGGUUUAAAACCUUUGUGGACGUGGGUUUUGAAACUUCUUAAAACUCUGGAAGGAUGAGGAAAAGGAAUUUAAACCAUUGAAAUGGAACAUGUUGCACAAGGUUAUCAUGAUCAUCCAUUUAUAAAAGAUGACAGCAUAUCAGCACUGCCUUAAGAUUGGAGUUGAGACCUUGUAUUUUUUACACAGAAAAUAAAGAACAGUUGCUGAAUGAAACAGAUACUCACAGAAGCAAAUAUAAUGAGCCCAAAAUAAUGGUGAUCAAGUUUGAAUGAUUUUAUUCUCUGGUUGAAAUGUUAUUGAAAUGAUACUACUGAUCCAAUUUUAGAAGUGGUUGACAAUGAAUACUAAGUAUUUUGUUGUAUAUAAGUAAUAAUGGCUUAUUUUAAAACUGUAUAAAGCUUGCAAUGUUUAUAUCAAAUGUAAUGAUAUUGUGUAGGAAUCACUUUUUUUUAAGGAUAAAAGAUGUAAUUUUUUUUUCAAUCAGAAUUUCCUAAAAAGACUUUCUAAUGUAAAUACAUGUAUAAAUAAAAGAAGUUUAUAACCCUUUCUUUUACUGUCAUUGAAAUACUGUAACCAUGGUAACAAUGAACUGGAAUUUUACACAAAAAAUAUUUUAACAUGAAAAUUUCAAAUUUCAAGGUUUUAUGAAGUUUGAAUUGCGGCUUAUAUUGCUUUUUAUUGAACUAUUUCCCUUAUCCUUAGAUUUGUUGUGCAUUCUAUGUAAUAAAUUUAAUUUUGGAACAUGGGAAAGGUCUUGUUUUGAACUCUGCUGAUUUUAACUCAAGCAGAGUAAAUGUAUUUAAUACAUGUACAUCUAUAUAUCACAAAUGAAAUGGCUAUUUUAAAAAAUAUAUACAUGUACAUGUAUAUCUGUAAAAAUAAUCAAUCUUCCCAAAGAGUUUUUUCCCUUGUUCACAAUGUAAAAAAAAAAAUCUGAAUGAUAUAUGCAUGACUGUUUUACAAAAAGCAAAGAGAUAAAUUUAUUUUAUGUUUUAGAAAUGUCCUCAUUGUGUCCAGUAUCUGCUUUUCUAACAAGUAUUAAUGAUGUUGAAAUAAACUGUGCUAAUAUUAAAAAGUAAUUUUAUAUCAUGACAUGAUUAUAUAUUGAACCCUGUUCAUUGGAGCUGUGGCCAGAAGUGUUUGGCUAAUACAGCUAGGGGUUCAAAAUAUUUCACAGAGUGCGAUUAAAAUACAGAAAUAUAUUUAUUAUCGUAAAACAUAUACUUAGAAAACAUCUUGUUGGAUCUUUUUUCAAGUAUGAUCUCAGUGAAAAGGAACUGGAUCUGGUUGUAUCAAUAUAAACUGUUGAUACAACCCGGUCCUGGGUGUAAAAAGAGCUUACAUGUACAUGUAUAUAUUCUAGAUAUUUAUUUAAAUGCUUUUGGGUCUAUGAAAAAGGCACAAUAUGAAGAAAUGUGAACAUUUUUAGCCAAACUUGACAUUGGGGACAGGGAUAUACUAAGUAUGUGUAAGAUCAUGAUCAAGUGACACCUACAUGUAAUAGUCAGCUAGAUUGAAAAGGGUUAUGUUUUGAAGUUUGCUAAAUCAUUCUAGGUAUGACUAGGAAAUUAGAUUUGUGUGUGUGUGUUUUCAUACAUGUCCCCCCCCCCCCCAUUUUU